rnacentral:rRNA from 1 species
AAAAAUGAGUAUCAUCGCUCCAAUAGGUAUUGCUUAGGGAGGAGCUUGCGUCACAUUAGUUAGUUGGCAGGGUAAAGGCCUACCAAGACUAUGAUGUGUAGCUGGACUGAGAGGUUGAACAGCCACAUUGGGACUGAGACACGGCCCAAACUCCUACGGGAGGCAGCAGUAGGGAAUUUUCGGCAAUGGAGGAAACUCUGACCGAGCAACGCCGCGUGAACGAUGAAGUAUUUCGGUAUGUAAAGUUCUUUUAUUGAAGAAGAAAAAAUAGUGGAAAAACUAUCUUGACGAUAUUCAAUGAAUAAGCCCCGGCAAACUAUGUGCCAGCAGCCGCGGUAAUACAUAGGGGGCGAGCGUUAUCCGGAAUUAUUGGGCGUAAAGGGUGCGUAGGCGGUUUAAUAAGUCUAUAGUUUAAUUUCAGUGCUUAACACUGUCCUGCUAUAGAAACUAUUAGACUAGAGUGAGAUAGAGGCAAGUGGAAUUCCAUGUGUAGCGGUAAAAUGCGUAAAUAUAUGGAGGAACACCAGAGGCGUAGGCGGCUUGCUGGGUCUUUACUGACGCUGAGGCACGAAAGCGUGGGGAGCAAACAGGAUUAGAUACCCUGGUAGUCCACGCCGUAAACGAUGAGUACUAAGUGUCGGGAUUACUCGGUACUGAAGUUAACACAUUAAGUACUCCGCCUGAGUAGUACGUACGCAAGUAUGAAACUUAAAGGAAUUGACGGGACUCCGCACAAGCGGUGGAUCAUGUUGUUUAAUUCGAAGAUACACGAAAACCUAUCAGUUUCUUACAUACUCUGCAAAGCUGUAGAAACACAGUGGAGGGCUAGGGAUUCGCCAAUUCACG